GACGAACGCUGGCGGCGUGCUUAACACAUGCAAGUCGAACGGAAAGGCCCUGCUUUUGUGGGGUGCUCGAGUGGCGAACGGGUGAGUAACACGUGAGUAACCUGCCCUUGACUUUGGGAUAACUUCAGGAAACUGGGGCUAAUACCGGAUAGGAGCUCCUGCUGCAUGGUGGGGGUUGGAAAGUUUCGGCGGUUGGGGAUGGACUCGCGGCUUAUCAGCUUGUUGGUGGGGUAGUGGCUUACCAAGGCUUUGACGGGUAGCCGGCCUGAGAGGGUGACCGGCCACAUUGGGACUGAGAUACGGCCCAGACUCCUACGGGAGGCAGCAGUGGGGAAUAUUGCACAAUGGGCGGAAGCCUGAUGCAGCAACGCCGCGUGCGGGAUGACGGCCUUCGGGUUGUAAACCGCUUUCGCCUGUGACGAAGCGUGAAUGACGGUAAUGGGUAAAGAAGCACCGGCUAACUACGUG
rnacentral:rRNA from 1 species